GGUGGAGCUCCAUUGUUGGAUGAUUUCUGUUGUCCAGCUGGAUGACUCAUCACAUGCACCACAAGAAGAGAGUCUUCUUCAUGUGCUGAAGCUCUCACAGAGGGAAACCUUUCAGCCUCUAGCUGACCGCAAGCCAUCUCCUGCUGCGCCUCAUUUAGCAUUUCAUCAUCUCUCCGGCUUGUCUUUCAAACCUGCUCUUUAAUGUUUCUCAGUGAGUUCCUUCGGGCUGUACAGGUGGAUGACACACACUCUCUCUCUCUCUCUCUCUUCAUUAUAGCAGUCUCCUCUUCAAAGCACAAACAUGUACAGAAAACCUAUGGAAGCUCAUUUUGACCAAAGAUGCUAAUCAGUAAUCAGAUGUUUUCCUCUCCAUCAUUUUACUUUUUCUACUCAUAUUUAUUAGUUAUAGUCACUGUUUGACAUUUUCUCUGUCAUAAUAUUUCUAUCUUACAGUUCUUUUUUUUUUUUUUUUUUUUUUACAGCCGCUAGGACCAGAGAUGGGCAGUAACGCGUUACUUGUAACGCUGCGACGUUGGUGACAGCAGCUGUGUGCAGAUCAACAAUGGAUAAUAUAUCGAGUGCGGGAGAGAGUAUGAGCAUGCAGCGUUUAAAGUGUGGAAGUACUGACCUUACUUUGAGUUUGAUUCCAUAAAAAGUGACAAAAACAUUAGCGUCCAUCGUGCGUGGGAAGAAAACUUCUUUUUACAGCGAAAAAAACCCCUAAACUUCCGAGCAAGCACCGAGUAGCUACGACGUGAUGGGAAACUCACAGAGACACUCGCGCAGAUUCAUCAACUGACCGCAGCACACCUACACCAGGGUAACCCUCCGCCUACCCUGCUCCUGCUUUACAGGUUCUCAUCCACAUCACAUCUUAUGUCAUCUAGGGCAAAACACCUAGGAAAGAAUCUUCUGGCUGCCAGAAUUGAAGGAGUUGAAAGAUUGAAGGAGUA
ensembl:lncRNA